rnacentral:tRNA from 1 species
GCCUGGCUGGCUCAGUAGGUAGAGCAGGUGACUCUUGGUCUCAAGCUUGUGAGUUCAAGCCCCAUAUUAGGCA